rnacentral:rRNA from 1 species
AUUGAACGCUGGCGGCAUGCUUUACACAUGCAAGUCGAACGGCAGCGCGGGCUUCGGCCUGGCGGCGAGUGGCGAACGGGUGAGUAAUACAUCGGAACGUGCCCAGUAGUGGGGGAUAGCUCGGCGAAAGCCGGAUUAAUACCGCAUACGACCUGAGGGUGAAAGCGGGGGAUCUUCGGACCUCGCGCUAUUGGAGCUGCCGAUGGCAGAUUAGCUAGUUGGUGGGGUAAAGGCCUACCAAGGCGACGAUCUGUAGCUGGUCUGAGAGGACGACCAGCCACACUGGGACUGAGACACGGCCCAGACUCCUACGGGAGGCAGCAGUGGGGAAUUUUGGACAAUGGGCGAAAGCCUGAUCCAGCAAUGCCGCGUGUGUGAUGAAGGCCUUCGGGUUGUAAAGCACUUUUGGCGGGAACGAAAAGGACUGUGCCAAUACCACGGUUCGAUGACGGUACCCGCAGAAUAAGCACCGGCUAACUACGUG